UCGGGGACGAAGUUUAUUGACGGUACCCGAUGAAUAAGGGGCUCCUAACUUUGUGCCAGCAGGAGCGGUAAUACAGAGGCCCCAAGCAUUACCCGGAAUCACUGGGCGUAAAGGGUGUUUAGGCGGCCAUAUUAGUCUCUCGUUAAAUUUGCGGGCUCAACCUGCAACGCGCGAGGGAAACGGUAUGGCUCGAGGGCGUGAGAGGUGCACGGAACUCAUGGUGGAGGGGUGAAAUCCGUUGAUAUCAU
rnacentral:rRNA from 1 species